CAAGGCCUUGGACCUCCAUUCCUGUUACCAGGUUCUCGUGGGCAAUAUAUACCCUCCGUGCCCACAACCCGAGCUGGCCAUCGGCCUCCCCGCUCACUCGGACCAUGGCCUUCUCACCAUCCUCCUGCAGAACGGCGUCAACGGACUCCAAGUGAAGCGGAGAGGCAGCUGGGUCCGUGUCGAACCCCUCCCUAACUCGUUCCUCGUCAACACUGGCGAUCAAAUGGAGGUAACAGUUUCCUUAGCUGCAAACCGAUCGCUUCUAAUUUCUUGCGUUGAAUUCAUGAUCGUUCUGAUGGUAUAAAUUAAGUUCGGGUGAUGAAAGGUCGUCAGCAAUGGAAGGUAUAAGAGUGUGCUGCACCGGGCUGAGGUGAAUAGCCAAAGCACGAGGAUGUCGAUAGCAACCGUGGUGGCACCAUCGCUUGAUACGAUUGUCGAGCCAGCCUCUCAGCUGGUGGGCGAUGAGCACCCGAUGAUGUUUCGAGGCAUGCGGUAUGGAGAGUACUUGGAGUGUCAGCAGGCCACCCGGCUCAAGGCCAAGUCUGCGCUGGAUCCUGUAAGACUGCAUGCCGAGUAGCAUCACCCUUCUCUGACAUGUCAAAGUGUUUCAUCUGAGUAUUAGAACUGGUUCUUUCUGUACUAGCGCGACGUUAGUACUCUAUUAUUAUAGUAUAGUAUGAGAUCUUUCAGUAUUAUCGAAUGACGGUAUGCUAUUUGUAUCAGAGAUAGAUACAGUUAUACCAUCCGAUUUGGAAUUAUGCUAUCUGAUUUGAACUGAUACGAUAAAUUAGAUAGCAUAAUCGGCCGGUUUGGAUCGGUAUGGUAAAUAAGGUAGCACCAAGAAAGAACUCAAAUAUCCACCCUAUAUAAAAAUAUCGUAUGUGCUAUCUUUGUUGGCUUUUGCUAAAGCAAAGCUUGUAUGAUAUUGAAUGAAUAUUGUAUGUAGUUAAAAAGAAAGGCCUUAUCGUCACGAAUCGAGUCUCCAUUUAUUGCUUGUUUUCAUUUAAUUUUUGAGUAUAAGAAAGAGAUGGAAAAGGAAUAGUUUGUCUAUUAUGAUGAUUUUUUUUGGGGGGGAGAUAGUGUUCAAUCCGAUCCGAUUCGAUUUUUUUUUCUAAAUUUUUAAUUUUGGAUUCAGGUCCGAUCCAAUAGAAAAUCGGGUUGGAAUGAUUCAGGUCUAGAGUAAAUUUAAUUGAUCAUUCAGAUCGAGUUAGAUUCACGUAUAAUUUGGUUUUAUCUAAAAAAAUUUUGAAACUGCAGAUUAUUUUUAUUUUAUUUUUUUUAAACAAUGCAUCAACAACAGUAGCCGCGCAUGUCGGACAUGCCGAAGAAACGUGCCAGCUUGCUGGAGAUGCCACGUCGUGCUGCAGGUGGGUGGUCGUCACGCGUGUGGGGUCAAUUUUGUAUUUUUGUCACGUCCGAUGGACGUGACAACGGUGGUGGGCCCCCACCCACGAAAAUCUGUGUCCCUCGGUCUUCCCCUGCUCCGCCGGGAUACAUGUAAUUUGAUGCGCACGCACGCACCGUAUGCUGCAAUUAUGUGGCCCUGCACCUAAUUAAUGGCCACCUUGCCGGUGUGUAUUUUUCAGAAGAAAAAAGAACAGAUACAUCUUGUGAUGGAUGCAGCAUUACCUGCUUACUCAGUUAGAUUCUUUAACGAUGCGAAUAGAGUUAAAAGAUUCGUAACAUACAAGACCAUCUUGGACGCCACGCUAUGCAUUUAUUAUAUUAUAUGUAAUAAACGGUAACUAUAAAUAGUAACAUUUAUUCCAUUACAUUUACCAACUAGUGCAGAUUGAACGGUAAUUAUUUAUAGUAACAUUUUAAUAUUUUUUUAUAUAAAUCGUUUGGAUCAUGUCCUGAAUUUGGUAAACUUAGACAUAAUCCAAAAAUAGAACAAGUCCAAUUUUAGAACCCGAUCCGACCCUACAGAUUCUCCAAAAUAGACCGGGUCGGAUUACGGAUCAAUCCGACCCAUUUGUAGCCUUAUGAAUGGUUAUUCCAUUUAUAUUCCUGAUUUUUUUUUGGGCGACCCUCUUACGGCCGACGGCCCAUGCAUGCUGACGACGUGCCAUGCCUAGCGACAGCCGGCCGAAACGGAAAGAAGAAAUACCGAAAUUGAUAAAAACAUAAAAAAAAAAUUUAUAAAAAAAACAAGAAAAAAAACUAAUAGAGGAUUCCCAGCAAUCCAACAAGUCACUAAAACCUAGCUUGGCUCAAACUAGUUCAACCAUCCAUCGCUGAACUAGCUGAGCUUCUUGCAUCCAGACCAUCGUCAGUGUUAGCUCUGGAUGUAUGGUGGGCUCAAACAAUAGAGCUCUAAUACCACUAUGUUGGUAGUAAUAGAAGCAAAAUAGGACACUAGUUAUUCUAUCUUAAUAUUUGAGGUGGAGAGUAGGAAAGGAUAAAAGAGAACACUCACGAAUAUUUCCAUUCAAUUUUUGCCCUUACCAAAUAGAAAAGUAGUCAUUCUAUCUUAAUAUUUGAGGUGGGGGGUAGGAAAGGAUAAAAAAGAAUACUCACUAAUAUUUUCAUUCAAUGCUUGGCUGCAUACAAAGUGGUUAAGUACAUACAAUAUGAUCCUUCAAAUACUCUUCAUAUAAAUACAUCACUAUAGCCCAAGAGAUACAAUUAAUACAAGACUCUAAGAGAUACCAUAUAAUUAAAAACCUAAAAGGCAUGACUACUUGGAACUCCAAUCAUAUUCAUUACUAAUCACUUCAUUACAUCGCUCAUUUGAUCCCUUACUUGCCAUGAUACUCAGACUAUUGGCUUGCUGGCUCUCUGAUUAUUUGCCCUAUAAGCAUGGGACAAAACUUUUCCCGUCUCUCUCUCUGAUGCUACCAUGCCAACUAAAAUUGCCAACAUUUUCUCUCUCUCUGUCCAUUCGAUGUCCUUAUAUUGUUUUUUGGUUGAAAAUGUCCUUAUAUUGUUUUUUUUUGGUGAAAAUGUCCUUAUAUUGUUUUUUUUGGUGAAAAUGUCCUUAUAUUGUUUUUUUUUGGUGAAAAUGUCCUUAUAUUGUUGUCGACAGCCUCCAAGCGGCCAUCUCGUCGCUUCGACGCCACUCCUCCACCUCCAUCUCCUUUCCCAUCCGGCCAUCUCCAGCUGCUCCUUCCAUGGCUCCUCCAACUCUCCCAAACACCGCUCCCAUACCCUCCCCUCCCCCCAGCUCCGUGAAAGAGCUCACCAACUCCACAUCCCUUGGCUCCGUUCCUCCCCAGUAUGCCAUCCGAAACCCCGAGACCACCAUGGACAUCGAACCCAUCAUCGAAGAAGAAAUCCCAACCGUUGACUUCUCUUUGCUGACCGAAGGAACACCUGAGCAAAGGUCUCAGGUGGUUCGCCACCUCGGCAAGGCUUGUGAGGAGUGGGGCUGCUUCAUGGUAUGUUCAAGCUGUUCUAUGCUCGAGCCGGUCGGAUUCCACUGCUUGAUCCUUCUGAUCUUUGAUUGCAGGUGGUGAACCAUGGCAUACCGGAGAGACUAAUGGAGGCGAUGCUGAUCUCGUUGAAGGAAUUUUUUGAUCAGACGGAGGAGGAGAAGGGAGAGUACACUGGCAAGCACGUGAUGGAUCCCAUCAGGUGUGGGACUAGUUUCAAUUUAACGGUGGAGGAUGUCAGGUACUGGAGGGACUACCUGAAGGUUUUUGUGCACCCGAUUUUCUAUUCACCCGCUAAGCCUCCACGCUUCAGGUAAUACUUAUAACCUAGAUCUGAGUUCACCCGGUUUAGUUUUUAGCUAAUUCGAACAUGUCUUUAACCUAGGUUAUUUCGAUUAUGGGCCUCAUGGCUUCGGUUCGUAUUUGCCGGGUUGAUGAAACUACUGGGUUCGGAAUGGAUGAGAAAUUUUGUUUAAAUUAAUUCUUAAUUUAUAAUUCAAUCAAAAUUAGAAUAAUAAUAAUUUAUAGUUUUGUAUGAGAUUUUGUUGUAGUAAUGAAUAAUUUGUUGAUCAAAUAACUUGAUUAUAAAUUGAGGUCCUAAGAUGCCAACUAGUGUAGUUGCUAAAGUUGUCGGUUGGCACUGAUGACCUAGAUUUCAUAAAUCAUAUGAUGAGAAAAGGAACUAUGUACCUAAGAAAAAAAUACCAUCUUAUAAAUUAUAUAAAAUUCUUGAUUUAUGUGGAUGAUGUCGGUUCUUAUGGGGAAUUGCUACUUAAAUUGUUUUCCCAUCAACAUUUCAUUUCAUCUAUGAAUUGUGAUGCAUCCAAACAAAACAAAUGGAUAUGUACAUAAUAUUCACAUUCUUAUAAUAUUUAGGAGGCACAGCAGCCCUGGAAUCUUUUUUGAGCUGGUUGGUUUGGUGUAUAUUUUGUCUGGAUAUACGGUUUGAUUUCCUGCUUUCCCCAUCUCACAAUGUCCCCUCUUGUUUCUUUUAAAUGUCUCCUCAAAAUUUAAAUUUACGUGAAUACCCUCUUAAAAUUUAUAUUUAUGUCUACACGCUCAUAAAAUACUGUUUUUACACAAAUACCUCUAAUAUAACGGUUCUUCUAACACCGUUAAUAAAAACCAUAUUUAUUUUAAUUAAAAUAAAAUAAAAAUUUUAAAUUAUCUUUUUAUCCUCCAUCAUGAUCACCUUAUAAAUAUUUACUUUUGCACAUCUAACCAUUAAGAGUAUUAUAGUCAUUUUUUAAUUUGAAACUGUUAAUUUUUUAAGGGCGUUAGAUAGCAUGGGUACAUAUGCAAAAAUAAGGAUGAAAAAAAAGGGUAGAAUAGCGAAACAAUUGUUUUACAAGAAUAUACAUGUAAAUAUCAAUUUAGGAGGAUAUUCAUACAAAAUUUAAUAUUUAGAAGAAUAUUGAUGUAAAAGAAAAAUUACACUAUUGUUAAACUGUGUUUUAAUUCACACCACUUUGCUGCUUCUUUUUUUUUUCUUCCUUUUUCCCCUGUAUUUUUUUGCCCUGCCUCAUUUUGUGAAAGUAAAAUGCGAACAAGAGGGCACUUCACAAUUCACUUGUUAGCGAAUCAGUUGAUUAGCUACCAUCGCAGCAAAACAGGCAUUUAGUGGUGUUCAUUGUAGGGAGACAUCAAAGGAGUACGCUGAGUCCACUAGAGCAAUGGGAAUGGAACUUCUGAGAGGAAUAUGGGAGAGCUUGGGAUUAGAGGAGGAUGACAUGACCAAGGCCUUGGACCUCCAUUCCUGUUUCCAGAUUCUCGUGUGCAAUAUAUACCCUCCGUGCCCACAGCCCGAGCUGGCCAUCGGCCUCCCCGCCCACUCGGACCAUGGC
rnacentral:lncRNA from 1 species